rnacentral:rRNA from 1 species
CCUACGGGAGGCAGCAGUGAGGAAUAUUGCACAAUGGCCGUAAGGCUGAUCCAGCCAAGCCGCGUGAGGGAAGAAGGAUUUAUGGUUUGUAAGCUUCAUUUAUAGGGGAAUAAAUGUAUCCACGUGUGUAUGUUUGCAUGUAUCCUAUGAAUACGCCUCGGCUAACUCCGUGCCAGCAGCCCCGGUAAUACGGAUGAUGCGAGCGUUAUCCGGAUUUAUUGGGUUUAAAGGGUGCGUAGGUUGUUGUUUAAGUCAGAGGUGAAAGUUUGUGGCUUAACCAUAAAAUUGCCGUGGAAACUGGACGACUUGAGUGUGUUAGAGGUAGGCGGAAUGCGUGGUGUAGCGGUGAAAUGCAUAGAUAUCACGAAGAACUCCGAUGGCGAAGGCAGCUUACUAAGCCAUAACUGACACUGAAGUACGAAAGCGUGGGGAUCAAACAGGAUUAGAUACCCGUGUAGUC